CUGAUGCAGCAACGCCGCGUGAGGGAUGACGGCCUUCGGGUUGUAAACCUCUUUUAGUAGGGAAGAAGCGAAAGUGACGGUACCUGCAGAAAAAGCACCGGCUAACUACGUGCCAGCAGCCGCGGUAAUACGUAGGGUGCAAGCGUUGUCCGGAAUUAUUGGGCGUAAAGAGCUCGUAGGCGGUUUGUCGCGUCUGCUGUGAAAUCCCGAGGCUCAACCUCGGGCUUGCAGUGGGUACGGGCAGACUAGAGUGCGGUAGGGGAGAUUGGAAUUCCUGGUGUAGCGGUGGAAUGCGCAGAUAUCAGGAGGAACACCGAUGGCGAAGGCAGAUCUCUGGGCCGUAACUGACGCUGAGGAGCGAAAGCAUGGGGAGCGAACAGGAUUAGAUACCCUGGUAGUCCAUGCCGUAAACGUUGGGCGCUAGAUGUAGGGACCUUUCCACGGUUUCUGUGUCGUAGCUAACGCAUUAAGCGCCCCGCCUGGGGAGUACGGCCGCAAGGCUAAAACUCAAAGGAAUUGACGGGGGCCCGCACAAGCGGCGGAGCAUGCGGAUUAAUUCGAUGCAACGCGAAGAACCUUACCAAGGCUUGACAUACACCGGAAACGGCCAGAGAUGGUCGCCCCCUUGUGGUCG
rnacentral:rRNA from 1 species